AACGAACGCUGGCGGCAUGCCUAACACAUGCAAGUCGAACGAGACCUUCGGGUCUAGUGGCGCACGGGUGCGUAACGCGUGGGAACCUGCCCUUAGGUUCGGAAUAACUCCCCGAAAGGGGUGCUAAUACCGGAUAAUGUCCUCGGACCCAAGAUUUAUCGCCCUUGGAUGGGCCCGCGUUGGAUUAGCUAGUUGGUAGGGUAAAAGCCUACCAAGGCGACGAUCCAUAGCUGGUCUGAGAGGAUGAUCAGCCACACUGGGACUGAGACACGGCCCAGACUCCUACGGGAGGCGGCAGUGGGGGAUAUUGGACAAUGGGCGAAGGCCUGAUCCAGCAAUGCCGCGUGAGUGAUGAAGGCCUUAGGGUUGUAAAGCUCUUUUACCCGGGAUGAUAAUGACAGUACCGGGAGAAUAAGCACCGGCUAACUCCGUG
rnacentral:rRNA from 1 species